rnacentral:rRNA from 1 species
AACGAACGCUGGCGGCAGGCCUAACACAUGCAAGUCGAGCGAGGUAGCAAUGCCUAGCGGCGGACGGGUGAGUAACGCGUGGGAACGUGCCCUUUGCUUCGGAAUAGCCCCGGGAAACUGGGAGUAAUACCGAAUGUGCCCUUCGGGGGAAAGAUUUAUCGGCAAAGGAUCGGCCCGCGUUGGAUUAGGUAGUUGGUGGGGUAAUGGCCUACCAAGCCGACGAUCCAUAGCUGGUUUGAGAGGAUGAUCAGCCACACUGGGACUGAGACACGGCCCAGACUCCUACGGGAGGCAGCAGUGGGGAAUCUUAGACAAUGGCGCAAGCCUGAUCUAGCCAUGCCGCGUGAUCGAUGAAGGCCUUAGGGUUGUAAAGAUCUUUCAGAUGGGAAGAUAAAUGACUGUACCAUCAGAAGAAGCCCCGGCUAACUCCGUGCCAGCAGCCGC